UUAAUUGAAGAGUUUGAUCAUGGCUCAGAUUGAACGCUGGCGGCAGGCCUAACACAUGCAAGUCGAGCGGCAGCACAGAGAAACUUGUUUCUC
rnacentral:rRNA from 1 species